rnacentral:rRNA from 1 species
UUCGGGUGAAGAUAAGACGGAUUAGCGGCGGACGGGUGAGUAACACGUGAGUAACCUGCCUUUUACACAGGGAUAGCCUCGGGAAACCGGGAUUAAAACCUGAUGAAACUAUCAAAUCACAUGAUUAAGAAAGUUAAAACUCCGGUGGUAAAAGAUGGACUCGCGUCCCAUUAGCUAGUUGGUGAAGGUAACGGCCCACCAAGGCAACGAUGGGUAGCCGGCCUGAGAGGGUGAACGGCCACAUUGGAACUGAGAAACGGUCCAAACUCCUACGGGAGGCAGCAGCC